AGAGUUUGAUCAUGGCUCAGGGUGAACGCUUGCGGCGUGCCUGACACAUGCAAGUCGAACGAACCGAGGGACUGUUGAUCGGGUUUCGGAAGGGUUCGUCCCGGAAGAGCCUGUGAGGUUCCUCGGUUAGUGGCGAACGGGUGAGUAACACGUAGGUGACCUGCCCCGAAGAGGGGGAUAACCAUUGGAAACGGUGGCUAAUACCCAAUGUGAUCCCGUAUUCGGUUGUGGGAUUAAAGGCUUCGGCGCUUCGGGAGGGGCCUGCGGCCUAUCAGCUAGUUGGUAGGGUAAUGGCCUACCAAGGCUAUGACGGGUAGCUGGUCUGAGAGGACGGUCAGCCACACUGGCACUGAGACACGGGCCAGACUCCUACGGGAGGCAGCAGUGAGGGAUAUUGCGCAAUGGGGGCAACCCUGACGCAGCAACGCCGCGUGGGCGAAGAAGGUCUUCGGAUCGUAAAGCCCUUUUCUCCCGGACGAGGAAGGACGGUACGGGAGGAAUAAGUGUCGGCUAACUACGUGCCAGCAGCCGCGGUAAAACGUAGGACGCAAGCGUUAUCCGGAUUUAUUGGGCGUAAAGCGCGUCUAGGC
rnacentral:rRNA from 1 species